rnacentral:rRNA from 1 species
AACGAACGCUGGCGGCAUGCCUAACACAUGCAAGUCGAACGAGACCUUCGGGUCUAGUGGCGCACGGGUGCGUAACGCGUGGGAACCUGCCCUUAGGUUCGGAAUAACUCCCCGAAAGGGGUGCUAAUACCGGAUAAUGUCUUCGGACCAAAGAUUUAUCGCCUUUGGAUGGGCCCGCGUUGGAUUAGCUAGUUGGUAGGGUAAAAGCCUACCAAGGCGACGAUCCAUAGCUGGUCUGAGAGGAUGAUCAGCCACACUGGGACUGAGACACGGCCCAGACUCCUACGGGAGGCAGCAGUGAGGAAUAUUGGACAAUGGGCGAAAGCCUGAUCCAGCAAUGCCGCGUGAGUGAUGAAGGCCUUAGGGUUGUAAAGCUCUUUUACCCGGGAUGAUAAUGACAGUACCGGGAGAAUAAGCACCGGCUAACUCCGUG